AUGAAAAUACAACCCACUGACCAUACAUCAAUAGCUGCAGUGUAAUCUGAAGAGUUCAACAAUAGUUCUGGUGCACGGUACCAUCUUGUAACGACAUAUUCUGUCAUGAAAUCAGAUUCUGAGGUAACACGAGCUAGACCAAAGUCACAUAUCUUCAGAUCACAAUUUGCAUUCAGAAGGAGAUUGCUUGGUUUUAAAUCUCUGUG
rnacentral:misc_RNA from 1 species